UGGUGGGGUGACUUGUCUGCUUAAUUGCGACAACGAACGAGACCUUAACCUGCUAAAUAGCCCGCAUUGCUCCGGCAGUGCGCUGGCUUCUUAGAGGGACUUUCGGCUCAAGCCGAAGGAAGUUUGAGGCAAUAACA
rnacentral:rRNA from 1 species